rnacentral:rRNA from 1 species
UACGGAGGAGGCAAGCGUUAUCCGGAAUUAUUGGGCGUAAAGCGUCCGCAGGUGGCACUUCAAGUCUGUCGUCAAAGACUGGGGCUUAACCCUGGAAAGGCGGUGGAAACUGAAGCGCUAGAGUGCGGUAGGGGUAGAGGGAAUUCCCGGUGUAGCGGUGAAAUGCGCAGAGAUCGGGAAGAACAUCGGUGGCGAAAGCGCUCUACUGGACCGCAACUGACACUCAGGGACGAAAGCUAGGGGAGCGAAUGGG